rnacentral:lncRNA from 1 species
AUUGCCCACAAUCAUGAGAAUCAUAAAUAGUGGGUUAGGGCGUUGAUAAAAUCCACAUGCUAAAGAAGUUGGCAUGAUGUAUUUUUUGCAUGAAAGAAAUCAAGAGGGGGCAUGUCCGAAAAUUUGAUGCCAAGAAAAUAGGAGUGGCAUGAGAAAGGAAUCAGAUUUGAUUCUUUUCUCAUGCCAACUUAUUUCCCAACACCCCA